rnacentral:rRNA from 1 species
GUUCGGAUUGUUCUCUGCAACUCGAGAGCAUGAAGGCGGAAUCGCUAGUAAUCGCGGAUCAGCAUGCCGCGGUGAAUACGUUCCCAGGCCUUGUACACACCGCCCGUCACACCAUGGGAUUUGGAUUCACCCGAAGGCGCUGCGCCAACCCGCAAGGGGGGCAGGCGACCACGGUGGGUUUAGAGACUGGGGUGAAGUCGUAACAAGGUAGCCGUAGGGGAACCUGCGGCUGGAUCACCUCCUUUCUAAG